UACGUAGGGGCAAGCGUUAUCCGGAAUUACUGGGCGUAAAGGGUGCGUAGGCGGUCUUUCAAGCCAGAAGUGAAAGGCUACGGCUCAACCGUAGUAAGCUUUUGGAACUGUAAGACUUGAGUGCAGGAGAGGAGAGUGGAAUUCCCGGUGUAGUGGUGAAAUGCGUAGAGAUCGGGAGGAACACCUGUGGCGAAGGCGGCCAGCUGGGAUACACCUGACGCUGAGGCACGAAGGCGUGGGGAGCGAACGGGAUUAGAUACCCGUGUAGUCCAUGAG
rnacentral:rRNA from 1 species